rnacentral:rRNA from 1 species
UACGUAGGGGGCAAGCGUUGUCCGGAUUUAUUGGGCGUAAAGAGCGUGUAGGCGGCCAUACAGGUCAGCUGUGAAAACUCGAGGCUCAACCUCGAGACGUCGGUUGAAACCGUAUGGCUAAAGUCCGGAAGAGGAGAGUGGAAUUCCCGGUGUAGCGGUGAAAAUGCGCAGAUAUCAGGAGGAACACCGGUGGCGAAGGCGGUUCUCUGGGCAUUACCUGACGCUGAGGAGCGAAAGUGUGGGGAGCGAACAGG